rnacentral:lncRNA from 1 species
CGGUCUCUUAGGUGAUGCUGCAGCCAAGAUGGCGCCGGCGGCGGCCGCGGCGGCCUGAGCGUCAUGCUCGGGGUUCUCGGCGGCGGCAGCGGCGGCGGCUGUUGGCGUCAGCCGGGGCCUCGAGUCUCUCCUGGGGUGAGCGCUCAAGCGCCUCUCCUCCGGCCGGGUUAGCCCGGGCAGAGAGGAGACGGCCACGGCGUGAGGGGGCUGUGAGGUUCAGCAAGAGCGCGGCGCCUCCUGCCUGGGCACCAUGGCUGGGAUCAUCAAGAAACAGAUCUUGAAGCACCUCUCCAGGUCAGUGAGCGCCGCGGGCGUGGGGGCCAGUCUGCCUGCGCCCCAUCCUGCACUCGAGGCAACCUGCGGCUUCGGGGGCCGUGGGGGCUUGCAGCUUGCGGGAGGCGACCCUGGGGCUGUCCCGCUCCAGUCCGGGCAGAGGUCGCCGCGCCGGAUCUCCAGUCGCCUGCGGAGCCCGGGACUGGCUUCGGAGUCCGCCGUGGGUGGGUUCUGUCCCCGGCGAGCUCGUAGAGAAGCGCCGCGGGGGUUGGGGGACGCCUGCGCCCUGGGUGGAUUUGACCUAAGCGUCGCCAGGUACCGGGUUGAUGUGGUAGGUUCCAACUAGGGUUCGGUGCUUGCCCGUCUCUGAGCAGAGCGGUUCCGUUAACCGAGGGCGUCUGGUGCUGUGUGGACUCUUGGGGCUGAGGCUGUCUUCCCAGUGAAACGUUAACCUUGUGAUUGAUUGUUCUCCAUUCCCCUUACCUGGCGUACCCGUUCUGGUGCAUUACAGGGUGUGCCUGUUUGCACAGUUAGGAUUUGUUUUAGGUCUAAACACAGAGUUCCCAGAUUUGGCAAGUUCUUUCCAAAGUCAUUUUAGUCCCACAUCAUUCUUACCUAAAGAGCGUUUUUGCUUUCUUUUGCAUUUGAGACCCUUAAAUUUAGGGCGUUAACAACUGUGUGAUUAAACCCUAGACAUGUCAUUCUUUCCAUUUCAUAACACAGUUUUAGUCAGAAACAUGACUCAGUAAACUGGCAGUUUGUUACUGCUCUGGGCUUCUCCAUAUUUGUCUCAAGACAAGCUAAAUGUAGGAUCUUGUUCCAAGUUGGUAACAAGGAAGUCACAGCACUUGGUUAGGAUCCCUCUGUAAUUUGUUAGCUAAUGAUUACUUGAAACUGAUUUUAGGAAGAGACUCCGGUGUAACCAUAGCUUUUUAUAGUAAACAUAAUUCUUGAUUUUCCAGAUUAUUUUAUACCACAGGUGAUAUGUUGGGAAACAAAAACAGUACUUCUGUGAUUCAGCAAAUAUUUUCCUGUCUUGUAACAUUAAAUAUGAUAUAGUUGUUUUAAUGUAGCAAAUUAACAACGUUUUUGAAUAUGUAUUUCUUAAUAUUUUCACUAACUGGAAAGUUUCUUUUAAAAUUGCAUAUAUAUAUAGUAAAGUGUUGAUCUCUCUUAUUUUGGAAGAAGGUUUUCUUUUCUUUCAUUAUUUAGAUACUUUUAUCAGAUGCCCCACUCCCCUUCUCCUAUCUAUUUCCGUAAGAAAAUUCAGACCUGAGAAAAUGAUUUGAAUGCCGUCUCGUUUUUCCACGGGUUAUGGUAUAUAGCUAAUACCGCUCUAGAUGCCUAGACAAAAAUUUAUAUCAAUCAGUAAGUGUCUUAGCGUUUAAUUCUCCUGUAGUCCAUUUGAGAAGGACUCUUGAACCGAAGAGUAAUGGCUUACUUCAUAAAAUACCUAUGUAUUUAGAAUUAAGUCCUUACUUUAUUAUUUUUUUAAUUUGUUUUAAUUAGUUACACAUGAAAGUCCUUGCUUUAUAAUUUGUAUAGCUUUAUGGUAGAUAGUAAAGAUGAUUUUUUUUCCAGAAAUGAGUUUUUUGAAUACUUGUAUUUUCAGUUAUUUUAUUUUAUACUUCAGAACAGCCUUAGAUGACUGAAGAAUGUUGCAUCCAUAUUUUUGGUUAACAUUGUAUUUAGUGAUAUUGUUGUUAACUUUCUAAGAAAAAAAUAGUUAUUGAUUAAUCUAAAGGCUAUUUAUAAUAGACAAAAAAGGUAAGUGUUGUGAUAAAUUAUAUUUAUUCUAAUAGGAAUGAACUUUUGAAAUUGUCUGCAUCAAGUUUAAUUGUAUAGAUUAUCCAUUGUCAUGAAGAUGUCACUAUAUUGAUCUGGUGAUCUGGAAUACAGUUUAACAGGAAAUACUCAAAAUAAAUAAUUUUCUAAUAAUAGACAUCUAGUGUGGCCUGUGGGCACAACCCAUGGCACUCCGUCAAAUGAGUCUUUUCCUGACCACACAGUUGAAAAUUGUGGGCCCCAUGCUUCAUCUGUUUUGCUUACUUUUAUUUUUUCCUGUAGCACUCAUCCUUAUCCGUCCUAAUACAUAUUUAUUUGCUAUUUGGCACUACUUAAAUGAAUGUAAACUGCAUGAAGGAAGAGAUUUUUCUCUUGAGGUUAGCAUAACUAGACACUCAGUAACUAUUUAUGUUGAAUGAAUAGUGUGGUUGAGCUGACUUUCCCUCACAUUGAGGCAAGACUAUAUGCUACCCAUAUUAUCACAGAUUUGAAGAUGACCAGUUUUCUUGUUUUUUUAAGAAGCAAUGGGCAAUUAAAUCAUUAAUGAGUUUUGAGUCCUGGAAAAGAAAUAAAAAAAUGACCUGGUUCUGUAGGAUCUUAUGUAGGGAUUCAUCCAGUAAGGAAGAACAUUAUUUAGAAAACAAUAGGAGAGAAUGCUCACUCUGAGCCUUGAUAUUGAGGUAUAGUAAAAUUAUGAGAUUAAAACUAACAUUGUUGAGCAGAUGUAGGGAUUUGAGAAGCUGAUUUAUUGGAAAAAUAUGAAAGAUAAUUGUACUUGAGAGAUUGACAAAUGCGCUGAGUAAAUGCUGAACUAGUUGAGAAGUAUAAAUUUAAAUAAUACUGUUCCUUGCCUAAUUGUUCUUUAGUAUGUAUUCCUAGCAUCUUUUACAUGAAUCAAAAGUUUAUGUGCUUGAAUAAUCUCAUUGGAGGACAGGGAGUGUGUUUGAGGGAGAAGAAGGUUAGAGAAGUUACAUUUAAAAAAUAUUUUUAGUUAUAGAUGGACACAAUACCUUUAUUGAUUUAUUUUUAUGUGGGGCUGAAAGUUGAACCCAGUGCCUCACCUGUGCUAGGCAAGUGCUCUACCACUGAGUUACAAACCCAGCCUGAGAAAUUACAUUUUUAAGAGAAGUGGAACAGGAAAAUACUUUGAAGGAGAAAUUACCCAGAUCCUUUAUACUAGAUCAGCAGAGGGUAUGUGUUUGAGGUUUUCUUUGUUUAAAAAAAUUUUUUUUUUUAGUUGUCAGUGGACCUUUAUAAUUUAUUUAUCUAUUUAUUUAUUUUGCAGUUCUAAGAAUCAAACCCAAUGCCUCAACAUGCUAGACAGGGACUCUACUACUGAACUACAACCCCAGCCCUGUUGGAGGCUUUUCUAAGAGAAUUUUUUUUUUUUCCCACAAAAGAGUAGAAAGUUUUUUUUUUUUUUUUUUAAAUAAAAAAGUUGGGGCUGGGGAUGUGGCUCAAGUGGUAGCGCGCUUGCCUGGCAUGCGUUCGGCCCGGGUUCGAUCUUCAGCACCACAUACAAACAAAGAUGUUGUGUCUGCCAAAAACUGAAAAAUAAGUAUUAAAAAAAAUCCCCCCCGCCCCUCUCUCUCUUUAAAAAAGAAAAGUUAUAGCAAAUGUAAGAAAAGAAAUAGGAGUGGGAGCGACAUUUCAGGUCAAGAUCUUCAUAUCUGUUACUUGGUGUGUGUUUAUACAUGUGUGUAUAGGUAUGUUUUUUUCAGGUCAUAUGUUAAGCAGGAACGUGAAAGCAGUAGGGAAGAUUCAGAUACAAAUCUUCUUCUCAUUCCCUUGGCCUCAGGGCAUUCUGUGCUAUCUAUACAUAAGGUUUUCUGGGGACUGGGAAUUGGCUGCUAGGACAUAAAUUCAAGUGCAUGGAUGGAAUCUGUAUAGUUUAAAGCAGUGAUUGUCAACCACAGGCAGUUUUGCCCCUCAGGGGACAUUUGUCAAUGGUUUUGGGGGAGGUAAUGGCGGAUUGAACUCAGGGCACUGGACCACUGAGCCACAUCCCCAGCCCUAUUUUAUAUUUUAUUUAGAGACAGGGUCUCACUGAGUUGCUUUAGCAUAUUACUUUUGCUGAGGCUGGCUUUGAACUGUGUUCCUCCUGCCUCAGCUUCCUGAGCCAUUGUGAUUAUAGACAUGUGCCACCAGGCCCAGCUUGGAGACUUUUUUUUAUUGUCAUGACUUAGAGGGGUGGUAUUAUUGGCAUCUACUAUUGGUAGAGGCCAGGGAUGCUGCUAAAUAUCCUAUAAUGCAUAGCACAGUUCCCUACAAUAACAAAUUUUUGGCUCAAAUGUCAGUAUAAUCUAGAUGGUUGAAAAACUGGUUUAAAGUAUACUGAUGUGUAUCAAAUGAUUGAGCUAGGGAAUUUUUCUAGUUAAGCUUAAACAACAGAAACCUGAAAUAUUUAAAAAGUUAUUGUGGUAGGUCACAGAAUCAAAGGAAGAUCUCAAUGGCAAAUCAAGAGAAGGGCAGGAACCAUCCAACUCCUAAAAACUCAUUGAAAGAAUUCCUGAACCUUCCUCUUGGAGCAGGGUUUCUGAAUCUCAGUAUUAUUGGCAUUUGGUCUAGAUAAUUCUUUGUUGUGGAGGGCUGUUCUGUCUCUUAUAGGAUGUUUAAUGCUUCUAGACAUUGCCAAACAUCCACUGGAGGACAAAAUUGCUCCUGAUUGAGAACCACAAUUGAGAGAUGCUGACCCAUCUCUCAAAAUUCCUAGUCUCUGAUCUCUCCUGUCAAAUAUCAGAUUCCUGGGACAGGAAUUCUAUGUGACCCAGUUCUGUCUAUUCCUAGAUCAAUUAACAAUGGCAAAGGGAUGUACAACAAAGUUAUGGUUAUGGUCAGAAUUAUUUUGAGUCAAGGUUGCUGCUUUGCUUGUGUGUGUAAUAGUGAAGUAAAUUAGAUUUCCAGGAUCCUCGUUUGCUAUGUUAAGGAAAUUGAACUUACUCCCUGAGUUGGAGAGUGAAUGCUAAUUAAAAGAAUUCCAGAUAAAAGAGUGAUAUGAUCAGUAUAGAAGUCUGGUUUUUGGAAUAUAGGGUUCAGGAGCAACAUCAGGUGAAAAUAUAGAGCCUUCAAGUAACUCAAGUAGAAAACUAAUGUAUUGGUAGGAUAUUGAUGUCUUUCAGAAUUCAUAGGAAAGUCGGAGAAUGAGAGUUGGAAAGGAUUGGAUCCAGACCUGUUCCAAAGAUGGUCUUGAUAUGACUUGUUCUGUAAACUAGGAGGAAGGAACAAAUAGAAGGAGCAGGUGGCUGAGAAGACCACUGAAUGUUCAGAAUAUUCUUGUGGAGAUAAGGAAGGGUUGCAGGAUUUUGUGAUUGAAUGGCAGUGUGAUUCAAGUAUAGAGUACCUCACAAGGUGUUGGUAGGAUGGGCCUCUAAAGGAAAGAGGAGAGAAGAUACCAUCUGGAGAAAAAGGAAAGAACCUCAGAGAAUUGCAAGUGCUAUCCAGGUAGAAGAGCAGUAGCAAAAAGAAAUGAGAGUUUGCAGGGAUUGCAGUUUUUGUCUAAAAGUGUCAUCUUGAAGCUUUAAGAUUUUAGAGGCCAAGAUCAGCCUAGUUUGCUCAGACAUGGCCAUGGAAGUAAGUUGCUAAAGAGAAGUUUGGGUGCAUGUAAUCGGAAAUGAAUAUUGCGAGGUCUAUAAAUAUCAUUGUGACAUAGAGUCGUCUGUUGCUUAUACUGUCAAAUAAUAAUUUCAUGUCAUUAUUUAAAGGCUGAUUAUUCACAUGCUUCACUUUUAUGGUAAAACUUAAUAAAUAAAUAAUUUUUGAGAAUGUAUCUAUUUUGGGUUUUUAAGCACUUGCAUGUGCCAAAUAUUGGGAAUUAGGGAUACAAGGAUGGGUAAGUCUCAGCUCUUGGGAAAUUUCAGUAAUUCUAUUUUGAUAUGAGAGGCAUGAGUAGGAUCACUAACUAUAGCUAUUUCUAAACUGUCCUGCCAUAUGAAAUUUGUGAGAUGGGUUUACUUAGAGUAGGCAACUGGGGAAAAAAAUGAGUUAAGUAUUGCUUUUUGGAUUAUAAGUAAAUUGGUCAUGGUUGUUUUGUUUUUUGGUUCCAAGAAUUUAACCCAGGGGCUGGGGAUGUGGCUCAAGUGGUAGCGCGCUCGCCUGGCAUGCGUGUGGCCCGGGUUCGAUCCUCAGCACCACAUACAAACAAAGAUGUUGUGUCCACUGAAAAAUAAAUAAAUAAAUAUUAAAAAAAAAAAAAGAAUUUAACCCAGAAGUUCUUAACCACUUAGCCACAUCCCCAGCCCUUUUUUAAAUUGUUUUUAUUGAGACAGGGUCUCUUUAGGUUGCUAAGUUGCUGAGGCUAGCUUUGAACUUGGGAUCCUCCUGCCUCAGCCUCCCUAGCUGCUAUGAUUACAGGUGAGUCCUACUAUGUUGGGCAGUUUGGGGUUUGUUUUAGAGUAAAUUUUGGUUUCUUUAAAUUGACAGUAUUCAUUUUCCAGAAUUUCUAAUAACAUGGAUUUUACAUUAGAUAUAUUAGUUGUUUAACACAUAAUUUACUCAGUGCCUGCUUUAUGCAAUACUGCUCCAGAGUGCUAUGGAUAUAGCAGUUAACAAAAUAGUAAAAAAUCUCUACUCUCGUAAGUGUUUACAUUUUAAUUAGAGGAGGAAGACAGUCAAUAAGUGAAAUCAUAAUAUAUCAAUUUGUGUUAAGUACAUUUGGAAAAAAUAACAAAGGGAAAGUGGAUAGGAAGUUCAGGAAGGUAGAAAUGGAGUUUGUGGUGUUUUUUACAUUUUUUAUUGGUGCAUUAUAGUUGUACAUAAUGGUGGGAUUUGUUCUUAUUUAGAGUUUGCAGUUUUAAAUUUGGUGAUUUGGGAAUGCUGAAUUGAGAAGGUAUUAUUUGGGAAGAGAACUGAAAGAGGUGGUGGGAGCAAAUGCAAAGGGUCUUGAGGUGGGAGAGCCUCUACUAUAGGUGGAAUGAAGAGGGAUAAAGAAGAGAUCAAAGAGAAUACGAAGGCCAGAUAAUGUGGGAAUUCAUAAUGACUUUGACUUUGACUCUGAGUGAAAUUGGAAGCUACUGGAAGCCUGUCAGCCGAAGAUCACUGUGGCAGCAGUGUGGGAAAUAGGACAAGAGCAAAAACAGUAGGCCAAAGAUGAGAUUAUUAACUAAUCAAGUUACUGGUACCAAGGUAGAUGAUACCAGUAACAUGUUGAAAUAGUUCUUAGAUACACUUUGAAGAUAGAGCCAGGAUUGACCUUCAGAGGUGAAUUGAGAGAACAAUAGUGAAUGACUUCAAAGAUUUUCACAUUAAGCAACUGACAAGAUGAAAUUGCAAUUUACUAAACUAGAGAAGACUGCAGAAGGACCAGGCUUAUGGGAAAACUCGAGUUCAAUUUUGGAUACAUUAAUUUGGGUGAAUAUUAGGUUAUCUAAAUGGAGACGUUCUCCCUUUUUAUUUGUGAUGUGAUUUAGAAUAAAGGUUUUAGUUUGGCAACAACAAUGGCAGUGUUUUUGUGUGGUCAUCCCUUGCAUUGUACAGUAAGUAAUUACUACAGUGAAUUGUGAGUUGAGGGAUGCUCUGCAGAAUAGUAUAUACAAAUAUCUGAAAUAGAACAGGACUCUGUUUCUUUCACAUUAAUUUCCAACUAGAACCAGAUUUUGAUUCUUAUAAAAGUUAUUUUCAUAUUGAUUUGAAAACUUCAAGCGAAAUGAGAAUUGAAUACUUGCUCUAGUACAUGUUGUAAUAUUACCUCUUAGAAUCAGAAGGGAUCUAUUUCUCUGUCAGUGAAGGAGAUUAUUAAAAUGUUAAGAUUUGUCUUUUACCUGAGGUCUGACAGAUAAUGCUGGGUGGUAAAGCUACUGGUCCACUAUCAUUUUAUUUGAUUUUUCUCUUCUGCUGGUUUAGGUUAUUGUAUCCACCUAACAGUUUACUUUUCUUUUCUUUUUGGUACCUGGGAUUGAACUCAGGGGCACUGAACCACUGAGCCAUAUCCCCAGCCCUAUUUUGUAUUUUGUUUAGAGACAGGGUCUCACUGAGUUGCUUAGUGCCUCACCAUCGCUGAGGCAGGCUUUGAACUCAUGAUCCUCCUAAGCAUCUGGGAUUAUUGGCGUGCGCAACUGCACCCGGCUCAGUUUGCUUUUCUUGUACUGAAUUUUCAGCACUCUCCUAUUACUCCUGUAUGGUGUUUUACCAUCCUCCGCUGCAUAUCCUUUACAAGAUGAUUAUAGUCCUUAAGCUCUGUAACCUUUUGAAGUUAGAGGACCAUAAUAUAUAUUUUUUUUUUUUUAUAAAUUUUAAUAUUUAUUUUUUAGUUAUUGGCGGACACAACAUCUUUGUUUGUACGUGGUGCUGAGGAUCGAACCCGGGCCGCACGCAUGCCAGGCGAGCGCGCUACCGCUUGAGCCACAUCCCCAGCCCCGGACCAUAAUAUUUUGACUCAGCAAUUCCUUGAAGUUCAGAAACAUAAUUUCUUCAUUUCUUUUUACUUGGAUAAUUUUAUUUUUUGCAGUAUUACACUUUGCCUUAGUACUGCAGUUUCCAGUCUAAGCUCUUAUUUAAUAAGCUAAUCUUUUAUCAAUUUUAUAUGCUUACAGUUAUGCAUAUUACAUAGACUUAGUAUUAUGCAUUGGUAUUUAGCAGUGGGUACUGGUAAUUGAAGUUCAGUUUGCUGUAAAUACAAGUAGAAGACUUUGUUUCUGUGAGUGAAAAAUAAGGAGUUACAUUGACACCAAGCUUUUGUUUUUCAUUUUUUAUUGGUGCAUUUUACUUGUCCAUAAUGGUGGAAUUUGUUACAUAUUCGUAUAUGCACACAAUAUAAUAGUAUAUUUUGGUCAGUAUCAUUUCCAAGUAUUUUUCCUUUCCCUCCUCAUGGUCCCUUUCUUGUACUCUACUGAUGUCCUUUUGAUUUUCAUGAGAUUCUCGUAACCUUUCUUUCCCUUUUUCUUCUCCAGCUUCCCAAAACAUAAUCCUUGACCUGCUGAUUUUGGCUUAACAUAAUGCAAUUUAAUUUCAUUUUUUCUUUAUGGCUCAAUAAAAUUCCAUUGUGAAUAUGUGCCACAUUUUCUUUAUCUAGUCAUCCUUAUGAAUGCCUUGGCUGGUUCUAUAGUUUGGCUAUUGUAAGUUGUACUGCUAUAAACAUGGGUAUGCAUGUAUUACUACAGUAUGAUGACUGUAAUUCUUCAGGAUAAAUACUGAGGAGCCAACACCCAAGUUAUUAAAAUAAAAUUGAGAACUGAAGCCAGUAUGAUUCAGGAUAUAAUAAUUUAUUGUUUAUUUGAUUUUUCAGACCUUAUAUUUACCGAUAGUUCAUCUGAGAACUCAUUGACCUAUUUUGAGAUGUCUUGUCACCAAGGUGAAUGUUGUAUAUAAUUUUCAAAUCUCUAUAUUAAUCUUUUGAGGCUUGAUUUUAUCUUUAUAUGUAUGUACCCUUUUUCUACUUAAAAAUACUAUUAAGAAAGAGAUGUCUAAAAAGAACAAAUAAAAAUUUUUUAAAAAGAAAGAUCUCUCAGGAGCCACAUCUCUAUUAUGUUUAUAUACUCUUUCUAUCUAAAAAUACUAUUAAGAAAGAGAUCUCUCAGAGGAGCCCCACCUAGGUUCAGGGAACACCAAUGCACUUUUCCAGGCUAGUGUGCUUCCAGACUAAUGUGUCUGACAGUUGCCUCCCUCAGCAGGGCUGUGCUUGUGGUCCUAGUGCCCACUAGUGCCAACUAGAGUAGAUGUGCCAAAUCUGAAACCAAUUGUUUUGUGCUUCCAGCAGUGUUGUUAUGAUGGCCACUUUGAGGAGAGGCCCCAAGGAGGCUCAUCGGUAUGAUAGAAUAACAAAUGGUUCUCUCUCCCUUUUUUUUUUUGUUUUAAUGAUUUUUUAAAAUGCUGUUUUUUUUACACCAUUCUCUUGGUAGUUAUUUAAAGCUUAAAUUGGCAUUGUCUUAAGGUGUAAAAAGCAUUUCUUGCCUCAACAUUCAACUUACAAUUAAAUACAAAGGAAUCCAUCCUGGGCCAGUUCAAUUAGUUGUAAAUUCAUCCAGUUUUAAUUAAAAUUUUUUAAAAUAUUUAUUUAUUUAGUUAGUUAGUUGUAGGUGGACACAAUACUUUUAUUUUGUUUAUUUAUAUGUGGUGCUGAGGAUCACACCCAGGGCCUCACAUGUGUGUGCUAGGCAAGUACUCUACUGCUGAACCACAACCCCAGCCCACUGUUUUAAUUUUUAUGCACCCUAAUGAGCAAAUGAAUUCAAAUUUAAAAUUCUUAAAAGCACAUUUAUUAUGCCAGGCAUGGUGGCCCACACCUAUAAUCUCAGCUACUUGGGAGACUGAGGCAGGAGGAUAUCAAGUUUGAGACCAGUCUGGGCUACUUAGCAAGAAAGACCCUGUCUCAAAAUUUUAAAAGGAGCUUAGGAUGUAUCUGGGCAUCCAUGGGUUCGAUCCCCAGUAGUAGAAAGAAACAAUUCUUGUUAUUGUAACAAGAAUAGUUAUGUAUUAACACUGAAGAUUUUGAUAGAGAUUGACUUAUUUUUCAAAAAAGAAAGAAAAGGAUCUCUGGCUUUUUUUUUUUUUUUUGCCACUGAUUAGCAUAGCGUUGGGUGUUGUUUUCCUCCACUCUUGUCUAUUUGUAAACCCAUUUUUUUUGUUAUUAAGAAUUAAUAUUGGGGCUGGGGAUGUGGCUCAAGCGGUAGCGCGCUCGCCUGGCAUGCGUGCGGCCCGAGUUCGGUCCUCAGCACCACAUACAGACGAAGAUGUUGUGUCCGCCAAAUACUAAAAAAUGAAUAUUAAAAAAAUUCUCUCUCUCUCUCCCUCUUUCUCACUCUCUCUUAAAAAAAAAAAAAAGAAUUAAUAUUUAGGAGUAACUUAGUGAUACCAGAAAAUUUGGUGAUUUUAAAAUUUGAUAAAACAAUACGUUUAGAUGUUGAGUUUCUUUCUCAAACAUUUACUUCUGCUGUGAAGCAACUUUAUAUAUAACUGAGAUAUAAAAAGGGACAACCAAAAAAUAUGAGCUUUAUCUUAUUAUCUUCAUUGAUAGGUUGUUCAUUUAUUUUUUUUCCUACCAGUACUUAUGGAAGGUUCUAUAGGAUUACAAGAAAAUUAAGGUAUAUGAAUGCUUUAUGGAAACAUUUUGGUAGAUGGAUCAAUAAAUAGAAUUAAAGAUAGAAUAUAAGUCUUAUGAGAGGGUUAAAGCAAAAUACUAUAUUCAACUUUUUCUUUUUAAUUGUUUUAUACCUUUAUUUACUUAUUUUAUGUGGUGUUGAGGAUCAAAUCUAGCGCCACAAGCGUGCUAGGCAAGCAUUCUACCUCUGAGUCAACCCCAGCCCACUAUAUUCAACUUUUAACAGGAGAGAUCAUGAGACAAAGGUGGUCUGUUAGAUUAGCUUGUAAAGAAAUAAUGGAAUACAAUCACAUAAAUGACUUGAGGAUAGAAAUAGAUAGUCAUUAAAUUUGUUUGACUAGGGCAUGCAUACAAAAUAAUUAUGUAAGGCAAAUAUGUAGAGUAGUUAAGGGAAUUUUUUAAAAGUUUAUUCAGUUUGCUAGAGAUUUUAUUUUCCAAUAUUGUACUUUUUUCCCCCACCUGUAUUUUAUUGUCUUACUUUCUGUAGCCAGAUUGUCUGCAUUCUUUCACGAAAGACCAUUGUAUCUCAGACUUCAAUUUUAACUAAGUUAGUCUUUGCUAAUCUCCUUCAUUUUAAAACUCAUUUAGGUUUUAAAAUAUAUCUUUUUUUUUUUUAAAUCAAAACAGAUGCUUCAUUUUUGUUAGUUCUGUUGAUUGUCAUCUCUUUAAGGGCAGAAUCACCUUCAUAAGCUUUAAAUUGCAAGGGCAGUGUCUGUGCUUCUUUGUUCACCACAGUUUCUUUAGCAUCCAUGUUAUGUAGAAGUUGUUCUAAAACAUUUGAACCGGCUGGAGAAAUAAAUUUGUUCUACUGCUUUGACUUCCAUGGAAUUUAUAGGACAUAUAUUGGUUGCCCUACAUACAUUUUUGGCACGUUUAAAAAGUUGACUUAUAUCCAAAAAAUUUAAUUUAAAUGUUUUUUUCCUAGAAAAUACUAUAGUUCUUUAAUACAUUUUUGAGUAAUCUUUUAUUGUAUCUUUCUUUGGCUUAUGGAUUAUUUUUCAUAGGUAAUUUUGUACCUCAAUUUUCUCAGAAAUGAGGAUUAUAGUUUUAAUUGAGGCUCUUGGCAGUUAAAUUGAUGUGCUAAUUUGUAUUUGUAGGUUGCUUGUUUUGAAGAGUGCCAAUCUUAAUUGAUUUCAUUUAGUGUUAAACUAGAUUCUUCAUCCUUUACACAAUUUGUAUACAAAAUAGCUAAUUCAUUUUCAUUGAUUAAAAUUUUAAUAAAAUUUCUUUUAAAAAUAUGAAUGUAAUACAGUAAUAGUAAUACCAGUGGUAGACAGAAAAUCCUAAAUGGUUAAUUCAUCUUAGCUAUGUAUGCAGUGUUUGCCUUUGGUUAAUCCAGUAUGAAAUACAACUGUAUUUUUUAAAGUGCAUCACAGCUAAAUAUUUUUAUCAUAUCAUUCCUUUCCUCUCCCUUCCCUUAAACUUGCUCCCUUCUGUGCCCCCUGUGUACCCACCCAUUCCCUGCAGCGUUCCC